CCCACCUAAGGGAAUUAGUUUUACACCUUCAGAUAAAGACUGCUGAGAAGAGCACCCUCUGGUGUUGUCACAGAGGCAAGUGCUACCGCACAGGCAUGCUGCAGUGAAUUUAACUGAUCCUCUGUCCCUGCAACCGUUGUUUAAGGAUGCUAUUCUGAAAAGACUGUGGAGGAAGAAAACCCUUUACCCUGUUGUUCAGGGAGAAACUGACACCACUCAACUGCCUGGCACUGAAAAUGUGGCAUCCAGUCCACUUUACCAUCAGUGUUUAAGGAAACCAUCUCUGAUAAGGAUGACUGAGGAAGAGUACUCUUUGGCUUGUUGACACCAGCACAGCUGACACACCCAGAUAUCUGUUUGGUCUCCUGUGAACUUUCAACCAGGAUUUAAGGAUGCCACUCUGGUUAAAAGCUGAAACAACUUCAAGGAAACUUCAGGGAAAAGAGAUAGAAGGCCUGGAAUCUGAUCCUCCACUUCAGAGAACAGGGGUGGUGGAGUCUAUGGCCCUUCUCCUUGAAUCUGAGUGAAAUUAGUGAGUCUUUCAAUCCAAAGACUACAGUCAUACCUCAACUAUCUACAGAGGACUGGUUCCAGGACUCCCAUGGAUCCCAAAAUCCAAGGAUGCUUCGAAUCCCUUAUAUAAAAUGGCAUGGUAUUUGCAUAUAACCUACAUGCAUCUUCAAAUAUGUUAAACCAUCUCUAGAUUACUUAUAAUACCAAAUACAAUGUAAUGCUAUGUAAACAGUUGUUACAAUGUAUUGUCAAAGACAAGCUCUCCUUGCCAAUCCCUGACCAAAUGAGAGAUUCAUGAGCAAAAUAAAUAGUUGCUGAUAUUUAAGGCACUAAGUUUGGGGCAAUGUAUUACACAGCAAUAAAUAACUGGAACAGCAUAGUAAAUUCUAGUUAAAAAUACUAAACUACUAAGUUUUAGUUAACAUACAUGCUCAAGUUAAGGGUGUGGUAUACUAACAACUGCAACUUACUUUGAAAAGCAUAAAAAAAGACACUAGAAGAAGACAGGAUGGAUAGAUGGACAAGAUAGAAGACAAUAACAAAUAGAACAAAAUGUUGUGAAAUUAUAUUCUACAAUUAUUUUAAAGUCUGUGUGGUUUGAAAAAUUGUACGAUAAAAUGAAGAGUGAAAUAAAGACAUUUCCAUACAAACAAAA
rnacentral:lncRNA from 1 species